UACGAAGGGGGCUAGCGUUGCUCGGAAUCACUGGGCGUAAAGCGCACGUAGGCGGCUUUGUAAGUUAGAGGUGAAAGCCCGGGGCUCAACUCCGGAAUUGCCUUUAAGACUGCAUCGCUAGAAUUGUGGAGAGGUAAGUGGAAUUCCGAGUGUAGAGGUGAAAUUCGUAGAUAUUCGGAAGAACACCAGUGGCGAAGGCGACUUACUGGACACAUAUUGACGCUGAGGUGGCGAAAAGCGUGGGGAGCAAACAGG
rnacentral:rRNA from 1 species